UCUACACAUAUCAAGAUGAUCUCCCAGACUCAAUUUCUCUGGCUCCUCAUGUUCUGGAUUCAGGACUCCAGCGGGCAGACUGUGCUGACUCAGACUCCAGAAUUCCUGGCAGUGUCCCCGGGAGACAGAGUCACCAUCAACUGCAAAGCCAGUUCCAGUGCUUCUACAGGCAUGGCCUGGUACCAACAGAAAUCAGGACAAGCUCCUAAACUCCUUAUCCACAACGCUUCCACCCGUCCCUCUGGGGUCCCAGAUCGGUUCAGCGGCAGUGGGUCUGGCACUGACUACACAUUCACCAUCAGCAGAGUGGAAGCAGACGAUGCUGGCAAUUAUUAUUGUCAGCAGUAUUACAACUGGCCUCCCACAGCGAUACAGACCAGCACAAAAACCUCUGUGCUGUUUAGAUUCAGACACUCACUCAGUAUUUCAGCUGCUUCCUGUGCAGCUUCCUGA